CACAAGUUGGUAAGUUAUUGAUUUUGAAAAACAGUUACCAGUAGCCUUGGUAACUACAUAUGGAAUGUAAACAAAAACAAGAGAUUCUCGCUUUAAACGAAACCACUGAGUGUAGUUGGCCGCUGGCAGCCAGUCAGGCUAUAAGCUCGAUGUUUCUUUCCAUAAUCUUCUCAAAGUUACGUGUCACAAUAUCAACAUCGUCAGCGAAGCCAAAGAGCUGUACGUAUUUUCGGAAGAUCGUGUUGAUCCGCGCUCUUCGAAGCAAUAUUGAACAAGAGACAAAAGAAUCCAAAACCUUGCCGUAGCCCUCUUUGAGGCUUGAAACGACUCGAGAGCGUCCCAGAUACUUGGACGUAGCACAUUACGGAAAUCAGCAUUCGUGCAUAAUCUGCCAUAGCGAUUGUGUCGUAUGUCGCUUUGAAGUCAAUGGCGCGUUGUAUUCUCGACACUUCUGGAGUACUUGUCUCAUAACGAAUAUGUGAUUCGUAGUAGCGUACCGUACCGGCAACAAAUAUUUUUGUCUAACAAAAAUUUGAUUUCGGUUGUUUAAGGCAGUAAACAACAACUUCUCGUGUGUUAUCUUCAGAGGGAAUAUAUUCAUCUAACUAAGCAUUUAUCACGUUCAUAAUGUUCCCAGAAUUACAUUCCUCGUUUAAAGUUUUGCUCGAGCUUCCUGGUUUAAAACUAGUCCACCAAGCCGAUUGAAUGUAGACUUUUUGAUAACUCCAGGUGACACAGUGUUUCUAUAAACUUGGUGGACAUAUCAGCAUUGUUUAAGGUUGUCAAAAAUUUUGAACGUGCCUGUUCAACGUCACUAGUUUGUAAUUGCCCUUGCUGGACUGAACUUUGAAGUGCCGAUUGGGCUAGAUCUAUGUAAACGGUAACCAGAUUUCAGAGGUGAUUUCAAAGCAUUUAUGAAGUCUUGUUCCAAGCAACUAACAGCUUUAUUAACAAUAGCACACACUCCGUCUAGUGAUUGCGUUCAAUUCGAACGUCGAAUGCACUUCCGUAUAAUGAAAAAUACAAAUAAUGAAAAAUUGUAAAAUAUUUUUAAUAAUAAAAUGUGGAAUUAUUCCAUAACUAUUUCAAA